rnacentral:rRNA from 1 species
UACGUAGGGUGCAAGCGUUGUCCGGAAUUAUUGGGCGUAAAGAGCUCGUAGGCGGUCUGUUGCGUCGGCUGUGAAAACCCGGGGCUCAACUCCGGGCCUGCAGCCGAUACGGGCAGACUAGAGUUCGGCAGGGGAGACUGGAAUUCCUGGUGUAGCGGUGAAAUGCGCAGAUAUCAGGAGGAACACCGGUGGCGAAGGCGGGUCUCUGGGACGUUACUGACGCUGAGACGCGAAAGCGUGGGGAGCAAACAGG